rnacentral:rRNA from 1 species
UAGCAUAUCAAUAAGCGGAGGAAAAGAAACCAACAGGGAUUGCCCUAGUAACGGCGAGUGAAGCGGCAACAGCUCAAAUUUGAAAUCUGGCUCUAUUUUGGAGUCCGAGUUGUAAUUUGUAGAGGGCGCUUUGGCGUCGGCAGCGGUCUAAGUUCCUUGGAACAGGACGUCACAGAGGGUGAGAAUCCCGUACGUGGUCGCGUGCCUUCGCCGUGUAAAGCCCCUUCGACGAGUCGAGUUGUUUGGGAAUGCAGCUCUAAAUGGGAGGUAAAUUUCUUCUAAAGCUAAAUACUGGCCAGAGACCGAUAGCGCACAAGUAGAGUGAUCGAAAGAUGAAAAGCACUUUGGAAAGAGAGUCAAAAAGCACGUGAAAUUGUUGAAAGGGAAGCGCUUGCAGCCAGACUUGCCUGCGGUUGCUCAUCCGGGCUCUUGCCCGGUGCACUCUUCCGUAGGCAGGCCAGCAUCAGUUUGGGCGGCUGGAUAAAGGCCUCUGUCAUGUACCUUCCCUCGGGAAGGCCUUAUAGGGGAGGCGUAAUGCAGCCAGCCUGGACUGAGGUCCGCGCAUUUGCUAGGAUGCUGGCGUAAUGGCUGUAAGCGGCCCGUCUUGAAACACGGACCAAGGAGUCUAACAUCUAUGCGAGUGUUUGGGUGUCAAGCCCGGGCGCGCAAUGAAAGUGAACGGAGGUGGGAACCCUUUGCGGGGUGCACCAUCGACCGAUCCUGAUGUCUUCGGAUGGAUUUGAGUAAGAGCAUAGCUGUUGGGACCCGAAAGAUGGUGAACUAUGCUUGAAUAGGGUGAAGCCAGAGGAAACUCUGGUGGAGGCUCGCAGCGGUUCUGACGUGCAAAUCGAUCGUCAAAUUUGGGCAUAGGGGCGAAAGACUAAUCGAAACUAUCUAGUAGCUGGUUCCUGCCGAAG